UGUCUAUGUUUCUCAAAGAACGUAAAGUAUCGUUAUUUAAGAUGUAGACAUGAGUGUCGUAUUAUAAAAUUAUGAGAUUGAUAAAUACAAUAUAAAUUGUUUUGGAUAUAACAGUNAUAUAUAUAUAUAUAUAUAUAUAUAUAUGAAAGAACAACUACCGCUACUGUAACGAAGAACUGAAAGCAUACAAGGAUAUCAAAACUAUAGUAGCAAGACAACUAUAAAGAAGACUGUAAGUAUACAU
rnacentral:lncRNA from 1 species